ACUGAAUAGAUACCCGGGUAGUCCACGCCCUAAACGAUGCAUACUUGGUGUGGGUUCUUCACUGGAUCCGUGCCGGAGCUAAACGCGUUAAGUAUGCCGCCUGGGGAGUACGGUCGCAAGGCUGGAACUCAAAGGAAUUGACGGGGGCCCGCACAAGCGGUGGAGCAUGUGGUUUAAUUCGACGCAACGCGAAGAACCUUACCUGGGCUCGAACGGUUGACGACACCCGCUAGAAAUAGUGGGGUUUCCUUCGGGAACGGCAAUCGAGGUGCUGCAUGGCUGUCGUCAGCUCGUGUCGUGAGAUGUUGGGUUAAGUCCCGCAACGAGCGCAACCCUUGUCCUGUGUUGCUAAUCUUCGGAUGCACUCUCAGGAGACCGCCAGCGACAAGCUGGAGGAAGGUGGGGAUGACGUCAAGUCAGCAUGGCCUUUAUGUCCAGGGCUACACACGUGCUACAAUGGGCAGGACAAUGCGUUGCCAACCCGCGAGGGGAGCUAAUCGUAUAAACCUGUUCUCAGUUCGGAUUGCAGG
rnacentral:rRNA from 1 species